AGAGUUUGAUCCUGGCUCAGGAUGAACGCUAGCGACAGGCCUAACACAUGCAAGUCGAGGGGCAGCGGAGAGGUAGCAAUACCUUUGCCGGCGACCGGCGCACGGGUGAGUAACACGUAUGCAAUCCACCUGUAACAGGGGGAUAACCCGGAGAAAUCCGGACUAAUACCCCAUAAUAUGGGUUCUCCGCAUGGAGGGUCCAUUAAAGAGAGCAAUUUUGGUUACAGACGAGCAUGCGCUCCAUUAGCCAGUUGGCGGGGUAACGGCCCACCAAAGCGACGAUGGAUAGGGGUUCUGAGAGGAAGGUCCCCCACAUUGGAACUGAGACACGGUCCAAACUCCUACGGGAGGCAGCAGUGAGGAAUAUUGGUCAAUGGGCGAGAGCCUGAACCAGCCAAGUAGCGUGAAGGAUGACUGCCCUAUGGGUUGUAAACUUCUUUUAUAAAGGAAUAAAGUCGGGUAUGCAUACCCGUUUGCAUGUACUUUAUGAAUAAGGAUCGGCUAACUCCGUGCCAGCAGCCGCGGUAAUACGGAGGAUCCGAGCGUUAUCCGGAUUUAUUGGGUUUAAAGGGUGCGUAGGCGGCCUUUUAAGUCAGCGGUGAAAGUCUGUGGCUCAACCAUAGAAUUGCCGUUGAAACUGGGAGGCUUGAGUAUGUUUGAGGCAGGCGGAAUGCGUGGUGUAGCGGUGAAAUGCAUAGAUAUCACGCAGAACCCCGAUUGCGAAGGCAGCCUGCUAGGGUGCGACAGACGCUGAGGCACGAAAGCGUGGGUAUCGAACAGGAUUAGAUACCCUGGUAGUCCACGCAGUAAACGAUGAAUACUAACUGUUUGCGAUACAAUGUAAGCGGUACAGCGAAAGCGUUAAGUAUUCCACCUGGGGAGUACGCCGGCAACGGUGAAACUCAAAGGAAUUGACGGGGGCCCGCACAAGCGGAGGAACAUGUGGUUUAA
rnacentral:rRNA from 1 species